GCUAAUUUUUUUUUUUUUUUUAGUAGAGUCGGGUUUUUGCCAUGCUGGCCGGGCUGGCUGAUUUGAUAUUCUUGCGUUGACAGUGGCCCACCGGUGGAGCAGCUGCCCCCAGACCCCUUGACCCGGUGGUGCUUCCACCCUGCCGGAAGCACCUUGUGUGGCCCCGCCAACAGCAUGGCGGUUGCAUCCCCAGGAAGCAGGCCCGCAGCGCCAGGAGGGGGUUUCCUGAGGACAGAGGCCCUUGUCCUGAUUGUCGCAGCAGGCCCUGUCGAUGGACUUAACUGUGAAAAUCACCCUUUCAGGGGUGGAUGCAAGGACUUCUGAGGGCGGAGAAGUAGAUACCUUCCUGGAUAGCUGUGGAGCCGGGGUCCUGCAUUUCCCUCUGGCGUCUCUGCUGACUGAGAUGUGAAGCAGUCGGCCCAUGUCCCGAGAAGAGGUUGGCCACAACUCUGUGCCACAUCCUCUUCAUUUUAGAAUCCAGGAUGAAGGAUAUGCCCUUAUCUGGGCACUUCUCCUUGCUGCUGCCAUGUGAAGAAGGACAUGUU
rnacentral:lncRNA from 1 species